rnacentral:rRNA from 1 species
UACAGAGGUCUCAACCGUUGUUCGGAUUCAUUGGGCGUAAAGGGUGCGUAGGCGGUCGCGCAAGUCGGAUGUGAAAUCUCAGGGCUCAACCCUGAAACUGCAUUCGAUACUGCGUGGCUAGAGUGCUGGAGGGGAGACUGGAAUUUACGGUGUAGCAGUGAAAUGCGUAGAUAUCGUAAGGAAGACCAGUGGCGAAGGCGAGUCUCUGGACAGCAACUGACGCUGAGGCACGAAGGCCAGGGGAGCAAACGGGG